GUGGCUGGGAUUGUUUAUCAAGUUAUUUGGUUGCUCUUAGUUUCCAAAUUUACAUGUAAGUAAUUGAUGAACAAAUUGCCCUACACAGGUACACACAGAAACACGCCAGCCCUGCACAAGCAGCACAUCUGUAGGUGAUCAGGUCACAAAAUGGCAAUGCCUGAUGUGUUUGCUUUUUCCUGCCACUGCUGGCCUCAGCUAUUGGGCCACUGCCACCACCCUGCCAGGGUCCCCCUCAGCCACCCUUCCAUUUGAGCCUCUUUGCUAGAUGGAAUUGCUGGUGGAGAAAAAUGGCUGUUAAAGACUAGAAAAUACUGAUUUAUAUAAAAUACCAAUAUACAGAGAAGGGGAGAGAGAGAUCACGUGUGCAUGCCCUGACGUACUGAGAACUCAGCAUUUGCCAUGAGAGCACUGGGGUUAACAGGACCACUGCCAGUUUUGCAACAGAGUGGUUUUCCACGAGGAGCUGGUGAUGUUUGCUUGUGUCAAUACCACUCAGAAAUUAAGAAUUUGGCUCUAUUUUUCCUGAUCUUUCAGUAUGGUUUUGGCAGGCUUGACAGAAAACAGGUGAGGAGGAUUGGGUAGAGGUGGUUUACUGUGUAGGGCAGCUGUCAACAGAGCCCACCCAGCUCCUGCUUUUGCCAUGCCCUAGGACUGAACACCAGCCCUCUGGAGUAACACGAGUGGUGGCCACCUCCUGUGCUGCUGCAAACUGAGCACCUCUUCCAGCUUGGAGCUGGAAUCCCGUGCUGGUGCUUGUUUGGUGAUGAUCCUGCCGCCAUAGCCCGUCCAUAGCCAGGGCUAGGGGCCUUGCAGAAGGGUGAAGGCUGGGUGAUUUUGUAUCAGCUUCUCUGUGCAUUCGGGCUUUGAGUUCUUAAUAUACAAUGACUCCUGCAGGCACAGAGUUUGUGGUGAUUGGGAUGGGGCUGGGCUGAGCCUCAUCCCCAAUGGGGCUCAGCUGUGAGGAGCAGGUGAGCAGCACUGGAUUAAUGAGCCAUGGAGGGCUGAGGUGUGCUGAGCAACCACCAAAGGGAGCACAGGGCACACAGGUGCACUGCAUCAGCAUGAGGCUAUAAAAGCUGGGCUAAAGAGCAGGAUGGGCAGACACCUGACGCUUUCUGAAGUGGAGUGAUGGGGCUCUGUAUGAACAGACACCUUCUAGAGCGGUUUCCCAGAGGGAGAAAUUCAGAACACAGUGCCUGGAUGGAGUGAUUCCAUAUCCUGUGUGUGAAUAAUCAUCAUUGUUUGGAUAUGGUUGACAGAAUUUGCCCUGCCAAAGGAAAUGUAGAAAGAAGCAAGUAAACAAGUUCUUGCUGAAGUUUGUAUUAAUCAUUCUAGUAAGCUGUAGAGUAGCUGAAGAAUCAUGUGUUCUGGUUUAUCCUUACAAAAAAUGUAAAUAGCAGGUUACAUAUUAAUGCUUAGAAAUCACUAACUUUACUUGCCAAGGAAUUAUACAAUAAUUUUAAAUGAAUGAACAGAAAAGUGUGCAUCAGGCUCAAGUGGCUAUUGCAUGAGCUGGGUUAAACCUGAGGUGUUCCCAAGACAGCAGACCUUUAUCUUUCUUUAGGAUAAUGAUCAAGCAAAUGUUUAAGAAUCUUCCUAAUGAGGUCAUGAGUAAAAUGUGAUUAGUAUUAUUAGACACACAAAUGAACUCUUAUUAAAAUAAUAGAAAAAUCCUGAUAUAUAAAAGGCAUGGUGUAUUAAAUCCAGUUUGACCUGAAGCCAUGCGUUGAAUACCAUUAUUAGGAUCUGUCCUUAAUAAAAGGCUUUCCAUUUAGUCAGUAAAAUUUGAGAUUCUACUCAUUUUGAGCAAAGUUUUUUCCAUGCUUGAAGCGCUGGUCUGCCCCACGUCACGUGGCCCAUGCUGUGCUAAAGCUACAGCAAUGAGAAGAGCAUGCUCAUCCUCUACAUCAGCCCCUAGGUCUGCAUUCAGAAGAAAGGCAAAGCUGCCACAGGCCCUCUGUUUUCUUACAAGCCAAAUAUACACGCUAAGAAUCUGUCAACUCAGUGCUUCGGCAGCUGACACUCCAGCUGAUCCAUCCACGGCAUGGGAAGGUCAGUUAAAUUGCUCUCAGUUUAUUUCAAAAGCUCUCAACCCUUUGUACAGAUGUUGGACUGAGUAAUGACCACUCAAAACCAAAGGAAGUAAAGCAGCUGCUGCCAUCUGAAAAAAAAAUUGCUGUGAGGACAAAGCAGCUCACUCGUGCUGGCCAUAGAGUUAUAACAAUUGUUCCUGCUAUUGAGAAAUUUGUGAGAUCCUAAGCUCACUAUAACAGCACUGAGAUCUUCCCUUGCCUAAGUUACAUCUUUUUUUAGGCACACACCAUUCUGGCCACAGAGUGAUGGAAAUAUUUUUAUUGGUUUUUUUGCUAAUGCAGAAUGAGCAGCUGAAACAGAGGCAAUAUUAAUGAACAUAUUCUGGUCUUGUAAAUCAAGAGUGCCCCUGAGCAAGUAGUGCGUGUUCAGCUCUGGGCACCCAGCUCAAGAAAGAUAUCAUCAAAAUACAUGUGGGAUUUUGAAAUAGACACUACUUAGAAAUGAAAAAUAUAAUCCAAACAAAGAUAGAAAAGACUGGGACCAUUUUCAUUUAGGGUGAUAAAACUUAAUCAAUGAUAUUUGUAUUUGGAACCACUUUUGUAGUCAGUGACAGAAAAGGGAAUGUGAUGAACACUUACUGACCCUUUCCUUCUUAGCAAAAGAAAAUACACAAAUUUUAAAGCUUGGAAAGAAAACUCUUGUGGCAUAUCAUCAAGCUGCAAGUGCUACAAGACAGCAGUGAUGCCAAAAUUUAAGUAAAUUAAAGAAUACAAUUUUUUGCUUUUAACUGCCACUCUGAAUUCAUGUCCAGACAGAGACAUAAAGUGAAACUUUGACAGACUAAAAGGCUUCCCACGUCUGCAUAUUAAAAAGCCUGUAAUUACUAAGGGCUGGGAAGAGGCUGUGCAUGACACGACUUUCUUCUGCAAGAAUUCCUGUAUCGCUACCAAACACUGGACAAGAGCUGGAAAAAAACCCUUCAGGUAUCCCCUGAUAAUACCUCUCUGGAAAGCUUAUAUUUUAAGCUAAGAAGAAGACACAGAGAUAGAAGUUUUUUACUGCUGAGGUACAACAUUUUCCUGAUAAGCCAGUCCUGACACACUAAGAAGUACUGGUUAUAAAGACUAUUUUAAGACAUCAGAACAAAUUACAGUUCUUAAAAACAUCAAACAACCUAGGGACCGAGUUCUGCGUAUCUAUUUUAAGGUUAAACAAAUCAAAUCACACAUAACAAACUUCUCUUCAUGUUUUUAGUACAAAAAAAUAAACCAAACUGAAAAUCAGUACAACACUGGAAACAAGUAUAACCUGUGCAUGCACUGAUUUCUGUUGUAAAUUAAUAAUUUCCAAUAAUUUUUUUUAGGCAAGCAGGGAAAAACGGUUAAAUUUCAAAUUAUGGCUUUCAAACACAUUAAUGCAGAAGACCAAGUUCAGUCUAUCAGCUGGCAUUUUGUCCCUUCCUUGUUGUGUGAGCUUGUAUUAAUGUGACAUCCUCAUGGCCACUGGCUGGUCAGUACAAUGUGAGUAUGACAUGGGUAAGCAAUAUUAGGAUAUUGUGCCAUUGUUCUUGGGAGCACUGCAGCAGCUGAAAACAUGGAAAAGGAGACAGCAAUAUAUGACCAGCAAGCAUUUUGUGAAGCAACAGUGAGCCAAUAAAGCAGCUUUCAAACUGCUCAAUUUGAGCAUGUGUGGUACAAGGAUCUGGGUGUUCUACCUGCUUCCCCUGCCUGCACCCACAACCUCUUUCGAGCAACUGCAAGACUAAACUGAGCAAUGGGACAUGAGAUAACAGACAUGGAGGUACUUAACUGGUCUGUGCCUUUCCAAUACAUUUUCACAGCUAUGAAGGCUUUCCUAAGCCAACCAGUGGGACAAAGUCCUUACUACAGAGAAUACAGAUAUUUUCUGGGCUUAUUUCCCUGUGCUGGAGUUCCCCAACACACACAGUGAAUAUGCUCAGGUUGCUGGCUUCCCAAAAGCUCACAUGGUCCAGAACUGCUAUCCAUAUUCCUCUGCUCCAGCCUCAGGAUGAACUCCCUGCUUCCCUGAAAAUAUGGAUGGUUCCCUUGAAGUUAAGCUGUGACCAUCACCACAUUCUCCAACUAAGUCCUGUACCUGACCUGCCAGAACAGCUGUACCACCAAGGACUGUCAUUCCAGGUAACUGAUUUUGUCCCUCUGUCCUGCUGCCCUGAUCAGCAGUGUUCCAAGGCCCUGAGCCUGCAGAGCCUUGCUCCCCUCAGCAAUCAGCAUGGGCACGGAGAGAGCCCCAGGACAAAGACUGCAUGGACAAAAUAUGCCAGAAGGGAAUUGUGGGACUACAGCAAUUUGAAGCAAGAUCCCAGAAUCCCUCAAGCUUCAUGCACCCAUGGCACAGAAAAAGUUUUAUAACCUAUGAAUCAAGCACAGUAGAUUAUGUAUUCCAAACAUUGAGCAACUAACGUGAACUGCUGGAACAUGCACCAAUUUACUAAGCUAUCACGUGUAGGCAAGACCUUUAUUUUUCAUUUCAAAUUAAAGAAAAAUUGAAAAAAAAUCAGGAACUGGCCCAUAAAGGAUAUUUCUUCAAAUUGGAUUCCAGUAAAUUUUCUUUGCUACAGAAAAUAUCAUUUCUCUUUUCCUACUUAGUUGUGCAAUAUAAUAUGUUAUAAUCACAUUUAGCUGGAACAAUAACAGUAGCACUUGCAUAAUAGGAACUGCAGAACCAUUCUUGCUCAACAGCAGCAGCAGUGAAGUCAUCUAAAGUUGAAGUAAUGACUUUGCUGGUCUUAAUGGCUUCUUCAAGUCUCAAUUCAAAGGGAAUUGGAAAUACAGCUAUCGGUGUGAACAUUUUCCAGAGAAUUUCUCAUAAAUCCAGAUGAUUUCAUUACUUCUCAGAAAGCAUCCUUAAAUUACAUGUAAAGGAUCAACUUCACAUUACAAAUGAAAAUGCCACAUAUGCAACCCAAAGAGAUUUUAGUUAGAAUGUCUAGAGCUGAUGUUCAAUCUCAACUUUCACUUUGAAAUUGCUGUUUCUUUAACAACAUGUAGCAGACAAGCCCAUACGAUUAGUCUGCUUUCAUUUAAUCCGUAUGAGAAAUUUCAUAACAAAGGAAUCAAAAAACAGCUGCAGGCAUUAAGUUAUUUUCAAGAAAAACUGUUUAAGUAGUAAAGGAUCUAAAUAUGUUUUCAAUAGCAUUUUCUUUUUUUUUUGUUUUUAUUUCCAUUGAAGAAGGAUUCACGGUCAUUCUCCAGCAGCCUGGUACUUUUGUUAUAUGGUGCAAGAUACAUAAAUCAUGUAUGUACCUUUUACAGUUAGCUUUAAGGAUACACUGCAAACAUAAGGACAUGCUAUCAGCAAAAGCUUAUCAAGCUGGAUUUUAGGCUCUAGGUGCACUUGCUACUCAAAGGAGAAAAAUAUCUCAGGACAAUAUGGUUAUUUUAAAAGGAAAAGCAAAAUCAGGAUUUAGACUAAAACAGAGAACCCCAAGGAAAGAUAGGAGGCAACCUGAUAGAUAAUUUUAAAAAAUAUUCCUAUCACAUUUUAAAAUUAUUUAGUCAUUCUAUAAUUUACUAAAGUUUACCAUUUCUUAACUGAUACUGUGAACAGCUGGAAAACAGAAUUAUGGCAAAGGCUGACUAGUGAAAGUGACUGAAGAAGUAAACCUACUUAAAUAUAUAUCACAGUAUAAAUAUUUAUUUAAUGCAAAUGUAUGAGCAGUUGGAAGAAAAAAUAGCACUAGAAAACCAGGUAAUUUUAUUUAAGGAAUUGAAGUCUUAGCAAUUAAAAUUCCAUAGAACACAAACAGGUGUUUGUUAUGACCCACAAACAAACACAGGUCAUUGUUAUGACCCGUUUAAAUGUUUGGGUUUUAUAGCACUGUCACUCUGAGCGAGAAUGCAGUCCUUCUCACAAUGUUACUAAUUUAAAUAUUACUGCAGAUUAAUUACUGUUUCUUUGGCCAAAUAGUAAGCAAUGUUUUAAAAUUACAUUUUAAACUCAGGGUUUUCAACCAGGGCACGAACAACAGCAAUAAUAUCAUCCUAGAGAACAGAGCUUCCAAAGUUAUUAUGCUCUGGACAAAACCAGCAUUAAGAAAAGCAGCUUAUUUUAAGGCACUAAAAUAUUUUGAAAAAUUUUCCAUCUCUCCUUCUAAUUAAGACUGGCCAAAUAACACCUAACAACAAAAAAGCUUUUGUUGGAAUUCCACCUUGCUGAGGACAAAAGUCUACCAAAGCAUUGCUAGGGGACUGUAAGCAAUACAUUUCCAUGGGCUGUCUUAUAGAACUGUGAUAUAAAAGGUUAUUACUUUUCCCAUAGAAAAACACUCUCCUUUUUCCUCUAUGCUAACCAGUCUAAUCAAUAGAAGGUAUUUACAUCCACAGCUAAGGAAUGUUCUGUUCCUGCUGGGGGACUGCAAGUUUCACUGAAGUACAUCCCACCCUCAUUGUACCUAUAAAGCACUCUGCAUACCAGCAGCUUAGAGCCCAAAUGACUGCACAUAUUUCUUAAACUAAAAAGAAUGCCCCCAAAAUAAUAAAUUUUAAAACCCCAACAAAAAAACCAAAACAAACAAAAAAUCCCCAUACAACCAAUUUUACCUU